UCCCUGCUGGCCCAGAGGUUAAAGCAUCUGCCUGCAAUGCAGGAGACCUGGGUUUGAUCCCUAAGUCAGGAA
rnacentral:tRNA from 1 species